GUGCUCACUUCGGCAGCACCUACCCUAAAAUUGGGAUGCUACACAGAAGGCCGGCAUGGCCGCAGCGGAAGGAUGACAUGCAAAGGUGUGCAGUGUUCUGUAAUUUU
ensembl:snRNA U6 U6 spliceosomal RNA